rnacentral:lncRNA from 1 species
AGUCUCCGCCUCGCGAGGUACCUCCCCACCUUGCGAUCGGGGUCCCAAGAGCCAGGGGGGAAGAGGGGCUGGCUCUCUUUGUGGAUGAUUCUUUUUCCAUUCUCAGGCAGUUUUCUUUUUUCUUUCUUUUUUUUUUUUUGGAGGCUGAGUCUUGCUCUGUUGCCCAUGCUUUGCUGGAUCUCGGGUGACUGCAACCACUGCCUCCCAGGUUCAAGAGAUUCUCCUGCCUCAGCCUCCUGAGUAGCUGGGACUAGAGGCGUGUGUCACCACACCCAGCUAAGUUUUGUAUUUUUAGUAGAGAUGGGGUUUCACCAUGUUUGCCAGGAUGGUCUCUAUCUCCUGACCUUGUGAUCCACCCACCUCAGCCUCCCAAAGUGCUGGGAUUGCAGGUGGGAGCCACCGGGUCCAGCCUCUCCGGCGAUUUUCAUACCUGCAUACUCUGAUCACUACUCUGUUAAACAGUCAAGGAGGCUGAGUGCCACGUGCUGACGUCACUAAGAUCAAUACAGCAAACUCUGAAAGAUGGACAGAGAGACAGGAGAUGGUCCUUUAUAAUGCAGUGUGAUCUGUGCUGCAAUAGAGAUGGAAGAGUGUUCUGAUCAGCUGGAAAACAACGCACAUGGGAAGCUGUACAGAAAUGAGUGGGGAAAGUUUUGGAAGCUAGAAGUUCAAAACGAGGUGUUGGCAGCACCAUGCUCUCUCUGAAGAUGCUAGGAAGAAUCUGCUCCAUGCCUUUCCAUUCGCUCCUGGGGUUUCCUGCAAGCCCUGACAUUCCUUGGCUUGUAGAUACACCACCCCAGUUUCCGCCCCCAUCAUCACAUGGCCUCCUCUCUGUGGGUGCCUCUGCGUUCCCUCUAUUCUUCUUCUAAGGACACCGACACCAGUCAUAGUGGAUUAAGGGUCCACUCCUAACUAAUUACAUCUGCAACCACCCUAUUUCCAAAUAAAGUCACAUUCUAAGA